UACGAAGGGGGCGAGCGUUGUUCGGAUUUACUGGGCGUAAAGGGCGCGUAGGCGGAUAGUUUAGUCAGAGGUGAAAGCCCAGGGCUCAACCUUGGAAUUGCCUUUGAUACUGGCUAUCUUGAGUUCGGGAGAGGUGAGUGGAAUGCCGAGUGUAGAGGUGAAAUUCGUAGAUAUUCGCAAGAACACCAGUGGCGAAGGCGGCUCACUGGCCCGAUACUGACGCUGAGGCACGAAAGCGUGGGGAGCAAACAGG
rnacentral:rRNA from 1 species